rnacentral:lncRNA from 1 species
GAGUACAUGACUUAAUUUUUUUGAUGUCAGGAUAAUCUUGAGAUUUUUGAGUCAGUCUUUGUAAUUAGUUUUGAUCAAAUGAUUGGUUUUAAAGAUGCGGGCUAGAGGGUUUGAGGCUGACAUUGUUUAACUACGAGAGUAGAGAUUUAAAUUAGACUUUUAUACUUUAAUAUUGUUGGUGCAAAAAUCUGCUUGCACCGGAGAAGC